rnacentral:rRNA from 1 species
AGAGUUUGAUCCUGGCUCAGGAUGAACGCUGGCGGCGUGCUUAACACAUGCAAGUCGAACGAACCUUCGGGUUAGUGGCGGACGGGUGAGUAACGCGUGAGAAUCUGCCCUCAGGAGGGGGAUAACGGUUGGAAACGACCGCUAAUACCCCAUAUGCCGAUAGGUGAAAUGAAUUUCGCCUGAGGAUGAGCUCGCGUCUGAUUAGCUAGUUGGUGAGGUAAUGGCUCACCAAGGCUUCGAUCAGUAGCUGGUCUGAGAGGAUGAUCAGCCACACUGGGACUGAGACACGGCCCAGACUCCUACGGGAGGCAGCAGUGGGGAAUUUUCCGCAAUGGGCGAAAGCCUGACGGAGCAACGCCGCGUGAGGGACGAAGGCCUCUGGGCUGUAAACCUCUUUUCUCAAGGAAGAAGAUAUGACGGUACUUGAGGAAUAAGCCACGGCUAAUUCCGUGCCAGCAGCCGCGGUAAUACGGGAGUGGCAAGCGUUAUCCGGAAUUAUUGGGCGUAAAGCGUCCGCAGGCGGCCUUUCAAGUCUGCUGUUAAAGCGUGGAGCUUAACUCCAUCAUGGCAGUGGAAACUGAUAGGCUUGAGUAUGGUAGGGGCAGAGGGAAUUCCCGGUGUAGCGGUGAAAUGCGUAGAUAUCGGGAAGAACACCAGUGGCGAAGGCGCUCUGCUGGGCCAUUACUGACGCUCAUGGACGAAAGCCAGGGGAGCGAAAGGGAUUAGAUACCCCUGUAGUCCUGGCCGUAAACGAUGAACACUAGGUGUCGGGGGAAUCGACCCCUUCGGUGUCGUAGCUAACGCGUUAAGUGUUCCGCCUGGGGAGUACGCACGCAAGUGUGAAACUCAAAGGAAUUGACGGGGGCCCGCACAAGCGGUGGAGUAUGUGGUUUAAUUCGAUGCAACGCGAAGAACCUUACCAGGGUUUGACAUCCUGCGAACCUCUUAGAAAUUUGAGGGUGCCUUCGGGAAUGCAGUGACAGGUGGUGCAUGGCUGUCGUCAGCUCGUGUCGUGAGAUGUUGGGUUAAGUCCCGCAACGAGCGCAACCCACGUUUUUAGUUGCCAGCAUUUAGUUGGGCACUCUAGAAAGACCGCCGGUGAUAAACCGGAGGAAGGUGUGGAUGACGUCAAGUCAUCAUGCCCCUUACACCCUGGGCUACACACGUACUACAAUGCUACGGACAAAGGGCAGCAAACUCGCGAGAGCUAGCAAAUCCCAUAAACCGUGGCUCAGUUCAGAUCGUAGGCUGCAACUCGCCUACGUGAAGUAGGAAUCGCUAGUAAUCGCAGGUCAGCAUACUGCGGUGAAUACGUUCCCGGGCCUUGUACACACCGCCCGUCACACCAUGGAAGUUGGCCAUGCCCGAAGUCGUUACUCCAACCCUUGUGGAGGAGGACGCCGAAGGUGGGGCUAAUGACUGGGGUGAAGUCGUAACAAGGUAGCCGUACCGGAAGGUGCGGCUG